AUUAAUUCUGUUUCAUUCAAGUUUUAAGAUUUCCAUUUUAUACAGGAGGUGUUUGUAGGCAUAUAAAUACAAGGACUGGUUGAUAAAUUUUAUUAAAAAAAAAAAAAAAUUAUAAGGACAAUGUAAUUCACUUCUGUAAUUUUUUUUCUAAACUCAGAAUGAAAGCGGUAAUCAAUUAAUGAAAGAAAUAUGUCUAUACAUUUACAACUUGACUAUUUUUCACCCUUCUAUGCUUGUCAUCAUCGGUUUUUUAAGGCUUUCUGCGCUAAAUUUCGCAAUAAUAAAGGAAACAAUUCAAUUAUUAUUGAGAAAUCUAGCUAAUUCGCACAAAAUUCGAUUUGGAUAAUCUCAUUUUGAUUUCUUUGAUUUAAGGUUCUAGGAAACUACAAUAACUCAGAAAUAUUCUUGACUCCACGUUAAAAAUUACAUAUUCUACUAGGCAUUGUAAUAAAGUAAACCGAUGUAAUCUUAUUUAUACUGUUAUUUAAUGCAACAAAAAUAAAUCCCGUAAAUCUCCUCGAGAGGCAGAGAGAAAUUCACUUUAAAGUCUAUCGAUCUCGUGGAAGAGUCUGUUAAAGUGCUGUUCCUUGUUCGUCAGAAUCUCUCUUCGGAUAUGGAUGUUGUCGGAUUUUAUUCAGGAUUGUUGUUUGAGGAGAGCAUCAUAGGUACUACGAUUGUGACGUUGCACUUAAAUCAAAUUUUAAAAUAUAUAAAUUUGAAAUAAUAAAAAUAGAAACUUUAAAUAUUAUUGCAAUUACUUAAUGAAAAUUCAGAUGUAAAAGGAGAUAUUUAUGAUUCUUCUUUUCCAUUUAGUCAUUCAAACUUCUGAAAUAUUUUUCUGCAUUUCACUAAUUUACCUUAUUCAUAUUUUCUGUUUUCCCAAUUUUUUUAAAAUGUUUAACGAAAUUAUCUGAAUAUUUAGGAGUUAAAUAACCAAGCAGAAAAUUAACAACCAGAAUUGUAGAAUCGUAACAUCCUCUGUUUAAAGUAUCAUCGCAUAAUUAGAUUUUUGGUAACACGGCACAUAAAUCAAGUGUAAUAUUUUAUGCAAAAAACUAAAAAAUCAGGGUAACAUAUAUGUGCAUGCCCGAGACAUUUACAGAUUAAACGUAUAUAAAUAAAUUUUAAAACAGAUCAUGAAUCAUAUUGCUUAUCCCUAGAGCCCUAUAUACUCGUCCAAUCAAUGAGUGUACUUGGCGUCGUCAUGGACAACAUUCUUCAUAAUUUAUUGCCGAAUAACGCGUUAAAAAUAUCGGAAUAUGUCGUAAAAAAUAUAAAGAAUCGAUCAUAUCUGUUAAAGCAUUUGAUGCCGAAAACAAUUUGUGGGUAAUUCUAAGUAUAACAGAUGCGAUUGUUUGAUACAAUGAUAUACAUUAUUUGCAAUUGAAAAUCUCAUUUGGGUGGCUUGAUGGAAUAUGGCAUCGCAACACGUGGACCAUCUGCCGAGGGGAUUCCUUCCGAAAGGACUUCAUAUACGGGGAAACUGUCCCUAAUCGGGUGUUAGACACGUGAAGACGACCCGGAAAACUUCAUGUGGUUUAGUCAGGCGCGAAACUCCGACCAAUGUUUACGGUUAUAGCCGCUCGGUCAUUGGUGGGCAAGUUCUUAUCUACAAUAUUCAUCAUAUUCAUGUAAGUUUUAUAACUUAAUGUAGACUGAUUGAAGUAUUGAUUCAUUUAUUAAUUAACACGCCAACACAUUAAGACUAUGUCCGGCCACAACUACAUUCAUUACGGAUGGGCUUGACCCACAUGGGUUCGACCAAUAUAAAUGAAUAAUGGAGUGCGCUAUCUCGACUCGCAAUUCUACUACGAUAAAUUAUACUUGGAAUAUAUAUUAUUUAUUACUUUAUAAACUACACCGAUGUCGAAAAGUUAGGCAUAAUACCUACAUCCCUCGAUACAGUAUUUCAAAAACUGUUAAUCAAAACGACAAAAUAUUUGGCGUGUUAGAAAACAUUAGAUCCACGAAUAAACAAAGCGAUUAAUUUGUAUAAGUGUAGACUUUAAUUAUGCAAAACAAGAAAAAUUAAAUUUAUUUGAAAGUCGUUUCAAAUUCGUACAAUA